rnacentral:rRNA from 1 species
AAUCAACGCUGGCGGCGUGCCUCAGACAUGCAAGUCGAACGAUUAAAGCUCUCUUCGGAGAGUGUAUAGAGUGGCGCACGGGUGAGUAACACGUAAGUAAUCUACCUUCGAGUGGGGAAUAACACCGAGAAAUCGGUGCUAAUACCGCAUAAUGCAGCGGCAUCGCAAGAUGACAGUUGUUAAAGAUUUAUCGCUUGAAGAGGAGCUUGCGGCAGAUUAGCUAGUUGGUAAGGUAAUGGCUUACCAAGGCUACGAUCUGUAACCGGUCUAAGAGGACGGUCGGUCACACUGACACUGAAUAACGGGUCAGACUCCUACGGGAGGCAGCAGUCGGGAAUUUUGGGCAAUGGGCGAAAGCCUGACCCAGCAACGCCGCGUGAAGGAUGAAGUAUUUCGGUAUGU